rnacentral:rRNA from 1 species
CUCGGGCUAUCUGCAGUCGAGCGAUGAUGAGGAGCUUGCUCCUCUGAUUUAGCGGCGGACGGGUGAGUAACACGUGGGUAAUCUGCCUGUAAGACGGGGAUAACUCCGGGAAACCGGGGCUAAUACCGGAUAAUAAAAAGAAACGCAUGUUUCUUUUUUGAAAGUCGGUUUCGGCUGACACUUACAGAUGAGCCCGCGGCGCAUUAGCUAGUUGGUGAGGUAACGGCUCACCAAGGCGACGAUGCGUAGCCGACCUGAGAGGGUGAUCGGCCACACUGGGACUGAGACACGGCCCAGACUCCUACGGGAGGCAGCAGUAGGGAAUCUUCGGCAAUGGGCGAAAGCCUGACCGAGCAACGCCGCGUGAGCGAUGAAGGCCUUCGGGUCGUAAAGCUCUGUUGUUAGAGAAGAACAAGUACGAGAGUAACUGCUCGUACCUUGACGGUACCUAACCAGAAAGCCACGGCUAACUACGUGCCAGCAGCCGCGGUAAUACGUAGGUGGCAAGCGUUAUCCGGAAUUAUUGGGCGUAAAGCGCGCGCAGGCGGUCUCUUAAGUCUGAUGUGAAAGCCCACGGCUCAACCGUGGAGGGUCAUUGGAAACUGGGAGACUUGAGUGCAGGAGAGAAAAGUGGAAUUCCACGUGUAGCGGUGAAAUGCGUAGAGAUGUGGAGGAACACCAGUGGCGAAGGCGGCUUUUUGGCCUGUAACUGACGCUGAGGCGCGAAAGCGUGGGGAGCAAACAGGAUUAGAUACCCUGGUAGUCCACGCCGUAAACGAUGAGUGCUAGGUGUUGGGGGGUUCCACCCUCAGUGCUGAAGUUAACACAUUAAGCACUCCGCCUGGGGAGUACGACCGCAAGGUUGAAACUCAAAGGAAUUGACGGGGCCCGCACAAGCAGUGGAGCAUGUGGGUUUAAUUCGAAGCAACGCGAGAACCUUACCAGGUCUUGACAUCCUCUGACCACUCUAGAGAUAGAGCUUUCCCCUUCGGGGGACAGAGUGACAGGUGGUGCAUGGGU